rnacentral:tRNA from 1 species
GGGGUGGGGGUUAAUAGCUCAGUAGCACAUGCUUAACAUGUAUGAGGUCCUGGGUUCGAUCCCCAGUCCCUCCA